ACUGACGCUGAGGAGCGAAAGCAUGGGUAGCGAACAGGAUUAGAUACCCUGGUAGUCCAUGCCGUAAACGGUGGGCGCUAGGUGUGAGGGUCUUUCUACGACUUUCGUGCCGUAGCUAACGCAUUAAGCGCCCCGCCUGGGGAGUACGGCCGCAAGGCUAAAACUCAAAGGAAUUGACGGGGGCCCGCACAAGCGGCGGAGCAUGUGGAUUAAUUCGAUGCAACGCGAAGAACCUUACCUGGGCUUGACAUACACCGGAUCGGGCUAGAGAUAGUCUUUCCCUUUGUGGCUGGUGUACAGGUGGUGCAUGGUUGUCGUCAGCUCGUGUCGUGAGAUGUUGGGUUAAGUCCCGCAACGAGCGCAACCCUUGUCUUAUGUUGCCAGCAUUUGGUUGGGGACUCAUGAGAGACUGCCGGGGUCAACUCGGAGGAAGGUGGGGAUGACGUCAAAUCAUCAUGCCCCUUAUGUCCAGGGCUUCACACAUGCUACAAUGGCCGGUACAGAGGGCUGCGAUGCCGUGAGGCGGAGCGAAUCUCUUAAAGCCGGUCUCAGUUCGGAUUGGGGUCUGCAACUCGACCCCAUGAAGUCGGAGUCGCUAGUAAUCGCAGAUCAGCAACGCUGCGGUGAAUACGUUCCCGGGCCUUGUACACACCGCCCGUCACGUCAUGAAAGUUGGUAACACCCGAAGCCGGUGGCCCAAACUUGUUAGGGAGCCGUCGAAGGUGGGAUCGGCGAUUGGGACGAAGUCGUAACAAGGUACCCGUACCGGAAGGUGCGGGUG
rnacentral:rRNA from 1 species